CCUACGGGAGGCAGCAGUGAGGAAUAUUGGUCAAUGGGCGGAAGCCUGAACCAGCCAAGUAGCGUGCGGGAUGAAGGCCCUACGGGUCGUAAACCGCUUUUGCACGGGGAUAACACCCUCCACUUGUGGAGGUCUGCAGGUACCGUGCGAAUAAGGGCCGGCAAAUUCCGUGCCAGCAGCCGCGGUAAUACGGAAGUCCCGAGCGUUAUCCGGAUUCAGUGGGGUAAAAGGGAGUGUAGGCGGGCGUUCAAGUCAGCGGUAAAAUCGCGCGGCUCAACCGCGCCCCGCAGUUGAAACUGGACGCCUUGAGUUCACAACAGGCAGGCGGAAUUCGUGGUGUAGCGGUGAAAUGCAUAGAUAUCACGAGGAACCCCGAUUGCGAAGGCAGCCUGCCGGGGUGCGACUGACGCUGAGGCUCGAAGGUGCGGGUAUCAAACAGGAUUAGAUACCCCUGUAGUC
rnacentral:rRNA from 1 species